GGAGACAACCAGAGGAUUUGCUGAUAGUCUCCAGCACAAGUCUCAUGAUCAGGUUCAGGAAGCUGCUGUACUAAAAAAUACGCUCUUGAUUGCCAAUCUCGCUCCCCAAACUAUAAUAUCAGAUAUCAUCGAUUUCUUCAAAGAUGCUGUACAAGUUGUUCAUGUUCAACUUGCUGUACAUCGCCGAGGUAUUCAUAGGAGCUAUGGCUUUGUUGAGUUUGCUUCUGCUACCGAAACAAACAAGGCGCUGGAAAAGAAGAAUGGUGAAUAUUUGCACGAUCGUAAGAUUUUUCUUAAAGUCACUACGAGAGCUCCACAACCCAAGUAAAUUUCUUUUCCAUUUUAUGGAUAUUUGUUUCUCUGACUUAUUGCUAGAGUUUUGAUA